GUAAUCCCUCAUCGACUGUGUGUGUUGCUUCUCCCGCCAAAACCGUCCCUCCUUCUCCCUCAUGGACUCCUUUUGCUUCUCCAUCUUCGAUCCCUUCUACCUCUGAUCGAUCCUCCACCGCCCAAGGUCUCCAAAACCGUUCCUCCCUCUCCCUCGCUCAUUGAGAUGUUGUUUUCGUUUUGAGGAAUUUUUUCCAAGCAAACAGGGCCCUUUGGCUGUUUAAGUGGUGCACCCAAAACAGCUCCAAAAUGACGUCGUUUUGGGGAUAGAGGAGGACAGCACAGUUGGGCUAGAACCGUCCCCGAGUCCGGAAAAUAUCUUGUGUCAUCACAAGUUUUGUUAUUCGUUUGUUUACCAGGCCAGCUCUAGUAGUCAAUUUCAUUGGGGAAAAAAAAAAGUUAUCAAUUUCGUUAACUACAGUUGUCAAUUGAAAAAAAAGAACAUUUGGCCGAAUGGAUAUCUGUUUUAUUACCCAAGAGGCUAAGACUAAUUAGGUAGAGUGUUCCCUUCGAAAGGUUUUGGGUUAAAUUUUCUUAGUCAGUAACACUUGAGGCUGAUUUAUUUGCAUUUGUGAGCUUGUGAUACGUUUGUGAGAGGAACUGUAGAAAUUUAUUCUGCGCACAAAUUGGCCCAAAGACCUUGUAUUACCAAAAAAAAAAAAAAAAACAUCACAAAUGGCACACGAAUAAAGUCAAUAGAGACUUGGAAUUUAGGGUGUGUUCGCUAAAAACACGAAGCAGAGUCAACUGCUUUUUCUAGUUCUUGAGCUCGAAAUUGAUAAUGCGUGUUCUGGAAACCAUAACAUUCCUUCUUCCAUGCCCUCUUUGUUUGUACCUUCUAUUUUUUUUUUUUUUCUAAUCAAGCUCCUUCACAAGGAUAUGGUGGAAUUCAAUUCACAGACAUUGUGUGAUGAAUUUCACAGGGAAAAUCAGAGGGCCUCCUUACAGAUUCAUCCACGGAAAUACCAAAGAUAUCCCGAAUCGGAAAACAACCACCAUAACAUAUUUCCUAGACUCCCUACAUUCUUGGCUCAACAUAUGCCGUAGUGAUUUUGGUUUUAAAUCCGGCCUUAGUGCAAUUGGACUGUAGAGAAGGCUCUGCAGUUUCAUCUAAAUCGUCUAUCUUAGUAAUCAAUGGUUCAGAUUCUAAGAAAUCUAACCAUUAAUAAUCACACUUUUAGACGGCGGAGAUCACAUAGACUGCUCUCCGCAGUUCAGUCACGGACUGUAGAGAAGCGUGGUCCUUACAGCAACUUAACAGUUUCUUGUCAUUAUUGGGUACAGUCCAUGACAAAAAUGGAUUCGGUUGCAUGUAUUCUAAGCAUCCAUUAGUUAAGGGGAUUGUGGCGCGAACCACUAUUUGAUCUCCCAGUGAGUUGGAUGGGAAUGAGACACAGGAGGUUAUCUAUGAAGGAUUUGAAUUUCCCCUUUCUGUUGAAAUAGUUUGAAACUCUAUACAGUAACCAUAACCAUGAGGAAAUUGCUUGAUGAAGUUCUGAGUUAGCAGACAUAUUUCAAGCUUAAAGAACUUCUUGAAGACGAAGGCAUAAAGAUUACAACUUACAAGGAUCCACUCCAAGCACCCCUCUGUUUAUUUGUGGUCUUUUCCAAUUCUUAAUGGGUUUUUAGUGGGCAUCAAUCAAAGUUUUCAUGUUGAUGCUCGAAUUCUUUGAUUCCCAAUCCACAUAAAAACUGUUUCUUGUCAAGAUAAGGAAAACUAAAGCUGUUUCUGUAAAUAAGUAAGCAUUCUCAAGAAAGAUCGGAACUGAUCAGGUAUAAAGCCAUCGUCUUUUGUAACAGUAUAUGAUAUGAUGUUAUUGUACUAUCAUUAGAAUUAAUGUAUAUGUGAGUAAUAUCCUUUUUGUCAAGGACCUUCAAUAUCUAUCACAGUGACAAACAACACAUUUAUUUGCUUGAUAUUUUAAGACUGUUUUGCACCCAGUGCACACCUUGAUACAUACUAGAGAGGGUGAAGCACCACUUGAAUCCCAUGUUCUGGCCGAAGUGUGAAAUGCAAAAUUGGCGAAUGAAUAUAGGUUGGGGACAGAGUGAACGCAUAGCGUUGUAGAAUCAUCGAGAGAGCGAUUUUUGCUUCGUUGAUUGCAAAGUUCAGACCUACAUAACUGCGUGGUCCCAAACCAAAGGGUAGGUACACUGCCGGGUUGUUGUUGGUAGCUUUAGCCACUCCUCCUGAAAAUCUUUCUGGAUUGAAGAGAUGCGCAUCUUCUCCCCAAAUAAGUGGAUCAAUAUGAAGAGACAUCGUAGGAAUCACCAGGGUUAAAUUGGCUGGAAGGACAAGC